UAGUCAUUUCUUGUUUUGCUCGUAGUUGUUGAAUCGUAGCUCCGAUUUGAUCAUGUCCUACAUGUAACUUGCUUAGAAUCUCGUGUAGUUUCAUUUUCUCUUGCUGUUUGAAUGUUUUGAAGUGCUCGUGACCGACGUUGCACACAUAUUGCAUUCAUGCCAUCAUAUCUUGCGGUGCUUGUAGCUUUUGUUCCGUAGCUCCGUUGGAGAUGUUCUUUAUGUGUAGAUUGCUUGCCUGGACGCGUAGAAUCACGUAAACCUAUUUGUUUUUCUGUUGAACAACUAAUUAAAUGCAUUAGUACAGAUCUGGACAGAAUUGUAAAUUAACAUGUGAGGUCGUUUCGGAGGUGCUAUAUGUCAUUUCCGACCUCACUUAAAAUGCCUAGAUAGGUAGUUUAAUUUCCGCUUCACCUCUUGCAUGUUUGACAACAUUAAUAUUGCCGUGUAGAUAACCGGGAGUGAACAAAAUAAUUAACGUGGAGUUU
rnacentral:lncRNA from 1 species